AAUGACUGAGAGUGGCAGGAAUAUGAAGGCAGACCCAUUCCUGGGAGACAUGGGACUCCUCUGGUGGGCAACCCUGGUUUGAGGACAUUCUCAGACAGCUUUGUCAAACCUCCCUUAUACUGCAGAUGUCUGGCCAACGUUGAAAAUGUUUCCAAGAAAAUUCAUUCUACUCUUAUUACUAACAUCAUCAGAAAGGACUUUUGAACAGUUAAAAAUGUCAAUGAAUUGUUUGAGAAGCUGGAAGUAAUGCCUCUGGAAGUGUUCAAGUAAAGGAACCUAAUUUAACACAGCUUAGCUUUUGAAGAAGACUAAGAUUUGUUUGUUCAAAUAAACAGGGAAGUGUAAAGCCAGUGGGGAUCAUAUGACCAAGGCAGUGAAACAAGGGCUUCAUGAUAAAUAUGCCAUGGACAAAGGUCAAGCAAAGGAUAAUAACUCAAUUCCUUAAAUGAAAGCUUCAAAGUAAAUCUUCUGUGUUUAACAGCAGUAUACAGGGGUCAAGAUUACAAUGUCCCAGACUAGAGAAUAAAAUGUGUGUUAAUA